CGCCAAUUGAAUUAAUAUAAUGGCGCCUUUAGUCUCUUUUUUCCCAUUCUCAUUCUGUAUCCUUUCAAUCUUAUAAUAUUAUAUCAUAUGUUUUCUUGGUUCUCUUUUUUUCUCUUCUUGUUUCCCGUCUCUCUGCCUUCUUCCUUCUUCCGUUUCCUUUCCUUUCCUUCUCCUUCUCCGUCGUAGUCUUGGCAGACUCCAAGCUCUGAUGCUCUAGUCAUGGAGCAUGCGACACCCUUGGGGAUUGGUUCAGAGUGCGACGUUGAGGAACCGCCGGGUAUCAUAGUUGUCUCAAAUCUGCAACUAAUAAAGCUCUCAGGGGUGAUGUCUUUCAUGGAGUAGUUCAGUCUUUGUAGACUCCAAGCUUCGGCACUUCGCAAUCGUCUCGUCAUUUUUGCUGUGUUAAAAUGGCUGUCUCACUCGACGAGAAGAAGAUUUUUACUCUGAAAAAGUCAGAGGAGGCUUUCACUGCUGCUAAGGUCGUGCUCCAGGGCCUCCACCUCCACCUAGACCUCCAGGUGGCGCACCUCCUCCACCUCCUCCUGCUGGUACCAAAGGAGCAAUUCCUGAUGCGAGAGGCCUAUCUAUAGGGAGGGGGCGUGGGCUUUCACGUCCUAUUGGGAUGGGGGCCGCUGCUGCUGCCCCUCGAAGAUCUUCAUUAAAACCACUGCACUGGAGCAAGUUUACAAGAGCAUUGCAAGGAAGCUUGUGGGAAGAAUUGCAAAGAUAUGGGGAUCCUCAAAUGUAUUUAAACUCCUGUUGCUGUCCUAUUGUUCUAUUAUUAUGAAUUAGUAAUAUU